UGGAAACAGAGGAGGGGCAGGACGUGAUAGAGCUUCAGCAACAUGGAGAGGAGAUAGCCGGUCUGGCUAGGAUGGAAGAAAUGUACAUGGAGAAGAAAGACAGAAGAACCAUCACUGAGCACUAAACUAAUCAGCCAUAAUGUGCAGAUUGACUGGCAAGCCUAUCACCACCUUGAUAACAGAUGACAUUAAAGAGAAAGUAUCAAUGUGAGGAUUAAAUGGGAUGAAAAAUAAAACAUCUGUCGGAGUGCCUGGAAUAUGAGCCUAGUAGAGCACCCAGCACACAGUAGGCUCUUAAUACAUGCUUGGGAUGAUUGAGGCAUUUUCUUCCACCAUAUUCCAUGAUCUUCUAGCCCUGGGGGUGCAGAGAGAUUACCUGGCCAAGAAGACUAGGGGUAAAGUACUUUUCUUACCUGGUACACAAAUAUCCAAGAUUGGAAAGAAGAAAGAAAAUGACGACAGAAUUUUGCAGUCUACAAGGCAAACACUGCCAUUCAUGUAGUUAUGGAGUUCCUACUAUGUGCAGACAAUGGGAAACUUUACGAAGUGGAUGGAGCAGCAUCAGCCAUGGCUCAGGAAUGCAGCCGCCUACUUUCCUGUUAUCAGCAGGCAUUCCUGUGGUUACACUAUUCCUGCUUAGCUUAUCAAUGGCCCUUGGGAACACAGAGUCAGCACCCAAAGAGGGCCAGAACAGCCUGCUUGUUGGACGCCCAUCCACACCAUGAGGCUUUCCUGGAUGUAGAGGGAAGUUACUGUUCCUCGGGAAAACCCCUCUUCCCAGCUGGGUUUUAAAAAGCAGCAGGUUUAAGAGCUGACCAUAUCUGAAAGACUCUAGAAUAGCAGAGGAUUGAUUAAAGGUCUGUGGCCACAGAUUGGAUGUGUUGAUUUUAUUUCCC
rnacentral:lncRNA from 1 species